rnacentral:misc_RNA from 1 species
AAGUCGUAACAAGGUUUCCGUAGGUGAACCUGCGGAAGGAUCAUUAUCACGUUAUCCACGUUAACCAACCGUGAACUGUUCUGCUCCCUACGCGAAGACUUCUCCAUAUGCAUGUAUUUGUGUGUGGAGAGUUGAAACGGGGUUUGAGCAACCCCAUUUGUUGGGAAACCUUCAAAUGGGUGGUUUUUUUUAAUUAAAACCAUUUUAUCAUUAACCAAUUGAACCUUUCAUUUUUAACUAUGUACUAAAUAUAUGAUUUCUUACCUCCUCUCUUCGGGAGGAAGAGCAUCGUUGUUUACGAAACAUAAGAACAACUCUUAGCAACGGAUAUCUUGGUUCUC